rnacentral:rRNA from 1 species
GACGAAGGGGGCGAGCGUUGUUCGGAAUCACUGGGCGUAAAGCGCACGUAGGCGGUGCCGUAAGUCGGAUGUGAAAUCCCUCGGCCUAACCGAGGAACUGCGUCCGAUACUGCGGUGCUUGAGGAUCAGAGGGGUGCAUGGAAUUUCCGGUGGAGCGGUGAAAUGCGUUGAUAUCGGAAGGAACUCCGGCGGCGAAAGCGAUGCACUGGCUGAUUUCUGACGCUGAGGUGCGAAAGCCAGGGGAGCAAACGGG